GAUGAACGCUAGCUACAGGCUUAACACAUGCAAGUCGCGGGGCAGCAUGGGGGUUGCUUGCAAUCCCCGAUGGCGACCGGCGCACGGGUGAGUAACGCGUAUCCAACCUGCCCUUCACCACGGGAUAACCCGGCGAAAGUCGGACUAAUACCGUAUGUUGUCCAUUGACGGCAUCCGAUUUGGACGAAAGGGUUGGCGGUGAAGGAUGGGGAUGCGUCCGAUUAGCUGGACGGUGGGGUGACGGCCCACCGGGGCGACGAUCGGUAGGGGUUCUGAGCGGAAGGUCCCCCACACGGGAACUGAGACACGGUCCAGACUCCUACGGGAGGCAGCAGUGAGGAAUAUUGGUCAAGGGGAGUAAGCCUGAACCAGCCAAGUAGCGUGCAGGAUGACGGCCCUAGGGGUGGUAAACUGCUUUUAGGCGGGGAUAAAGUGGUCUACGGGUGGGUUUUUGCAGGUACCGCAUGAAUAAGGACCGGCUAAUUCCGUG
rnacentral:rRNA from 1 species